AAGACAGCCAUGUUUUGUGAGUAACAGAGAGAGAGGGUUUGUGUUAGAUUUUAGAUGCUUCCACAAAUAUAGCACUGUAAAUGCUUGCUUGGAUUAUGUUUCCAUGAUAGCUUUUGAUUACAGACAUCUGGUGACCUUUGGGGUCAGCAGACGGGGGCACAAUAGUAUGUGUUCUUUCAUUCUUCUUUAACUGAAAAAAUAUCCCGGCUUGUUGUUUUGGAGUGCUGUCACUGCUCUGUAGCGAAAGGAUAAUGGCUACUUCCUGAUUAAACCACUAUCCACAAUUUUCCAGUGAAACAGCCCUUCAGUAUCCUUAUAUGAAGAGACUCAGAACUCUGGGCUCCAUGCACACAAGCUGGACCGAGCAGUUUGUGUUGUGAACUAGGUGGGUGGUGGAAAUAUGCCCGCCCACAACUUUUGGAUAGUUGAUUUCUGCUGGCAUCAUCUCUUCUCCUUUGCCAUACUUCUCUUAAUUUCACUCUAUUAUUACCAGAGUCAGGAGGCACCAGUCGCCCACGAUUGGUUACAGGAGACCCUCGCCAUUUGUGGGUGAUACGUUCCGGAGAUCCCCGUGAAUGGUGAAAUCUGCGCGUACUGACGGGGCUCCCUGUCAGACCCCACAGCCGCCCCGGCUCCCCUGCAGCACCUGAGGACCGACCCCUUCCCCCCCAAGUGCCAUCCCCCCCAAGUGCUGCUGGAGGCAGCAGCGGCAGAGUAGAUGCCAUCACCACCACCCUCCCUGUCCCCAGGUCUCCCCCACAGUGCCCAGGGACUGACCCUUCCCCCCCCGAGCGAUGCCAGGGCAGCCGCCAGGGGAGAAGAUGCUGCCGCCGCCAUCGUCCACGUCCCCGGCACUCGCUCUCUGCCCGCCUCCCGGCUCUGUCCUCCCCCGCAAAUAUUUGAAUCUGCGAAUCUGGAGUUUGCGAAUAGUGAAGGUUUCCUGUGUAUGGAAAAUGUUCUGUGUUAAAUGCAUUUGGUUACAAUGUAUACUUCUAACUGAAAUAGCAAAAGCAGUUCUUUUAUAUAUAUUUUAGUUGCUAGAUAAAUUUGCCUAUAAGCUGAGAAUGCAUAUGAAUCUGUUUAGAGCAAAGUUAAUAUUUAUUGCUAAAUUAGAAGUAAGGCUAUAAUUUUUGCAGGAUAAACUUGUGUAAACUUCACAUAGCAGUGUGUGGAGGAAGAAAUCUGUUUUUAUGGGAGGGUUACCAAACAAGCUUGCAGCCAAUGUAAAGAACGUGAACGAUAACCUUUUACCAUCGAUGUAUCCUUACUGUUUCACACUACCUCCUAGAAGUUGCUUUUGGAGGACAAGUUCCACUUGUUCUUUUCUAAAGACCUCUAAUUCCUCACCAAGUAUAUUUCCCUAAUGGGAGCUGUAGUUUGGAAAACAAACACACUCCAUUUGUAGUCCAGCAUCCCUGGCUGUAGUCCGUUUUACCAUGAAUCCAGUACAUUAUAUGAUUGAGUGGCAUGGUGCUUCCCAAGAGACUUCCUUCAGUUUCUGUCUCUGACAAAAUUAAUGAUAAGAUCUUAAUAAAGGAUGUUUAUAUUGCUUGUUUUUACUGUAGUUUAACUCUCUGUGUUUGCACUACAUUAUCACUCUUACCAUUUGUAAAACAUUUUUGUGGCUGGUUUCAAUAUGUUAAAUAUUAGAGCUGUGCGAAGCUUUGGGUGCUGAUUCA